AUUGAACGCUGGCGGCAGGCUUAACACAUGCAAGUCGAGCGGAGCGGCGGACGGGUGAGUAAUGCUUAGGCAUCUGCCUAUUAGUGGGGGACAACAUCUCGAAAGGGAUGCUAAUACCGCAUACUAAUAGAUUAGCCUAAGUCGGAUUAGCUAGUUGGUGGGGUAAAGGCCUACCAGGGCGAGGAUCUGUAGCGGGUCUGAGAGGAUGAUCCGCCAAACUGAGACUGGGACAAGGACCAGACUCCCACUGGAGGCAUGAGGUGGGAAGUUGGGACAAAGGGGGGAACCCUGAUCCAGCCAUGCCGCGGGUGUGAAGAAGGCCUUAUGGUUGUAAAGCACUUUAAGCGAGGAUGCGUUACUCGCAGAAUAAGCACCGGCUAACUCGGUGCCAGCAGCCGCGGUAAUUC
rnacentral:rRNA from 1 species